UGGGGAAUUUUGGACAAUGGGGGAAACCCUGAUCCAGCCAUCCCGCGUGUGCGAUGAAGGCCUUCGGGUUGUAAAGCACUUUUGGCAGGAAAGAAACGUCGCGGGUUAAUACCCCGCGAAACUGACGGUACCUGCAGAAUAAGCACCGGCUAACUACGUGCCAGCAGCCGCGGUAAUACGUAGGGUGCAAGCGUUAAUCGGAAUUACUGGGCGUAAAGCGUGCGCAGGCGGUUCGGAAAGAAAGAUGUGAAAUCCCAGAGCUUAACUUUGGGAACUGCAUUUUUAACUACCGGGCUAGAGUGUGUCAGAGGGAGGUGGAAUUCCGCGUGUAGCAGUGAAAUGCGUAGAUAUGCGGAGGAACACCGAUGGCGAAGGCAGCCUCCUGGGAUAACACUGACGCUCAUGCACG
rnacentral:rRNA from 1 species